rnacentral:lncRNA from 1 species
CACCUUCAAAUUAUCUAUGGAGUUUACCCUUUUGUGAGUUGUAGCUAUCCUAUGGAAGUAUUUUGUAUUUUGUCUCCCUAUUUCAACCAUUGUAUUCUUGAUCUCUGUCUCCAAGCUAUCUCCUCAUUUCUUGCAACUUCUUCAAACUCUAAAGCCAAAUUUGAUUUUUGCAUUGCCUCAUCAUCUGUGAGAGCUUUUUGAUCCUGGAUUGC